GAGAACAAACAGCUCUUUUAGAAUUUUUCUAUCAGGAUUUCUGACUUUGGCUGGAAAACCAAA
ensembl:snRNA Gm24577 predicted gene, 24577